GUUAUGGCUACCCAGGUGAUGGGGCAGUCUUCUGGAGGAGGAGGGCUAUUCACUGGCAGUGGCAACAUUGGCAUGGCCUUGCCCAACGACAUGUAUGACUUGCAUGACCUCUCCAAAGCUGAACUGGCUGCUUCUCAGCUUAUCAUGCUAGCAAACGUGGCCUUAACUGGGGAAGUGAAUGGCAGCUGCUGUGAUUACCUGGUUGGUGAAGAAAGACAGAUGGCAGAAUUGAUGCCUGUUGGGGAUAACAACUUUUCAGAUAGUGAUGGAGAAGGACUUGAGGAAUCUCCUGAAAUAAAAGGUGAACCUAAUGGACUCGAAAACAUGGAACUGAGAAGUUUGGAAGCCAGUGUUGUAGAACCACAGCCUGUAUUUGAGGCAUCAGCUGCUCCAGAAAUUUACAGCUCAAAUAAAGAUCUUCCUAAUGAAACACCUGGAGCAGAGGACAAAUGCAAGAACUUGAAGACCAAACCCUUUUGCUGUAAGCCAUGCCAAUAUGAAGCAGAAUCUGAAGAACAAUUUGUGCAUCAUAUCAGAGUUCAUAGUGCCAAGAAGUUUUUUGUGGAAGAAAGUGCAGAGAAGCAAGCAAAAGCCAGAGAAUCUGGCUCUUCCACUGCUGAAGAGGGAGAUUUCUCUAAGGGCCCCAUUCGCUGUGACCGCUGUGGCUACAAUACCAAUAGAUAUGAUCACUAUACUGCACACCUGAAACACCACACAAGAGCUGGAGAUAACGAGUGAGUCUACAAGUGCAUCAUUUGCACUUACACAACAGUAAGCGAGUAUCACUGGAGGAAACACUUAAGAAACCAUUUUCCAAGGAAAGUAUACACAUGUGGUAAAUGCAACUAUUUUUCAGACAGAAAAAACAAUUACGUUCAGCACGUUCAAACUCAUACAGGAGAACGCCCAUAUAAAUGUGAACUUUGUCCUUAUUCAAGUUCUCAGAAGACUCAUCUAACUAGACAUAUGCGUACUCAUUCAGGUGAGAAGCCAUUUAAAUGUGAUCAGUGCAGUUAUGUGGCCUCUAAUCAACAUGAAGUAACUCGCCAUGCAAGACAGGUUCACAAUGGGCCUAAACCUCUUAAUUGCCCCCACUGUGACUACAAAACAGCAGAUAGAAGCAACUUCAAAAAACAUGUAGAGCUACAUGUGAGCCCACGGCAGUUUAAUUGCCCUGUAUGCGACUAUGCAGCUUCCAAAAAGUGUAAUCUACAGUAUCAUUUCAAAUCUAAGCAUCCUACUUGUCCUAAUAAAACAAUGGAUGUGUCAAAAGUGAAAUUAAAGAAAACCAAAAAGCGAGAGGCUGACUUACUUGAUAACAGUACUACCAAUGAAAAAACAGAAACAGAGCAAACGAAAAUAAAAGGGGAUGUAGCUGGAAAGAAAAAUGAGAGGUCUGUGAAAGUGGAGAAAAAAGAUAAUGUUUCAAAAGAGAAAAAACCUUGUAGCAAUGUUUCAAUGAUUCAGGUCACUACCAGAACUCGCAAGUCAGCAACAGAAGCUAAAGACAUGGAUGUGCACACAAGAAAUAAUUCAGAAAAAUCCUGUAAAGCCAAGAAAAGCAAAAGGAAGAUGGAAAUUGAAGCCCAUUCCAUGCAUGAUCCUGUGAAUGAUGAGGAAUCUGUGACAAAAAAGAAAAGGAAGAUAGAAGGUAAAUCCAAAAAUAGUCAGGAAGUACCAAAGGGUGAUAACAAAGUGGAGGAGAAUAAAAAACAAAAUACCUGCGUGAAAAAAAAUACAAAGAAGAAAACCCUAAAAAAUAAACAAAGUAAAAAAAGCAGCAAGCCUUCUCAGAAAGACACCUCUCAGAAGGAACCUGUUCAAAAGGAGACUAGUCAGAAGGGGCCUGUUCAAGAUGUUCAGAAGGGGCCCCUGCAGAUAGAGUUGCCUCUACCCAUGGAACCUGUUCAAGUAGAGUCUGCUCACAUGGAGGUGGUUCAGAAGGGGCCUGUUCAAGUAGAGCCUGCUCACAUGGAGGUGGUUCAGAAGGGGCUUGUUCAAGUAGAGCCUGCUCAGGUGGAAGUGGUUCACCAGAAGUCUGCUCACAUGGAGCUGAUCCCUCCUAUGGAGACUGUCCACAUGGAGGAGGUUGUUCACAAGGGGCCUUCUCACGUGGAGCUGCCCCCUCCUGUGGAGUCUUCUCAUAUGGAAGAGGUUCAGAAGGAGCCUGCUGAGAUGGAGCUGCCCUCUUCUAUGGAAUCUCCUCUUACAGAGGAUGUUCAGAAGGGGCCUCUGCAGAUAGAGUUGCCUCUACCCAUGAAACCUGUUCAGAUGGGGCCUGUUAACAUGGAGUCUGUUCAGAUGGAAGUUGUUCAGAAGGAGCCUGCUCAGAUGGAGCUGUCUCCUCCCAUAGAUCCUCCUGUUCACAAUGAGCCAAUUCCCCAAAAGACUUCUCCCCGAAAAGAUAACAGAAAGGAAAGGUCCAAUAUGCAGAGUGAAAUGACACGUAAGGAGCAAGUCCUUAUUGAAGUAGGCUUAGUGCCUGUUAAAGAUAGCCAGAUUCUAAAGGAAAAUAAAAGCACACAGGAACUUUUGGCAUCAUCAACACCACUGCCAAAGGAAGACUUAAGAGAGGAGGAGUCAGAAGACCAAAAAUUACUCUCAGAAGGUGAAAGAAACAAAGAAGACCCUUUUCUGAAAGUAGGAACAGAAGAAGCAGAGAAGAGUGUAGCCGAUUCCUGUACCAAGGAAUCUAGUACUAGUGUUUCAUCUUCUGGACAAAAGUUGAAUAUGCCAGGUGGUGAAACUUUAGCUGAUAAGCAUCAGACUGACUCAGCUAUGCUUUGUGAAGUGGAAAUGGAUACUGAUCAUAACCCAGCAGAGAAUCUCCCUGAUAAAGUCUCAGCAGUUGGAGAACCAGUUUCACCAUUGCUUCUUCCCCCACCAAUAGGCAAACACGAAGCAGUGUCCCAAACUGUGCUGGCUUCACCUCCUGUUACUGUGGCAGUAAAUGAGUCUCAGGAAAUUGACGAAGAUGAAGGUAUCCACAGUCAUGACGGAAGUGACCUAAGUGACAACAUGUCAGAGGGUAGUGAUGAUUCUGGAUUGCAUGGGGCUCGUCCAGUUCCACAAGAAGCUAGUACAAAAGAUGCAAAAGAAGCCUUGGCAGGCAAAAGGACUGAGGGAGAUUUUGUUUGCAUCUUCUGUGAUCGUUCUUUUAGGAAAGAAAAAGAUUACAGCAAACACCUCAAUCGCCAUUUGGUUAAUGUGUAUUUCCUUGAAAAAGCAGCUAAAGGGCAGGAGUAAUUAAAGAUUGGGACAAGGUUCCAGUUCUUGGUUUGUAAGAGCUAUUAAUUUUUAUAUUCAUUUAUAAUAGUAGA